AUCCAACAGACGAGUCCCGAACGGGACGAAACACAUGUCCUUGAU
rnacentral:hammerhead_ribozyme from 1 species